CGGGUGGUAAUGCCGGAUGCUCCAUCACACCGCAUGGUGUGUUGGGAAAGCCUUUGCGGCAUGGGAUGGGGUCGCGUCCUAUCAGCUUGAUGGCGGGGUAACGGCCCACCAUGGCUUCGACGGGUAGCCGGCCUGAGAGGGCGACCGGCCACAUUGGGACUGAGAUACGGCCCAGACUCCUACGGGAGGCAGCAGUGGGGAAUAUUGCACAAUGGGCGCAAGCCUGAUGCAGCGACGCCGCGUGAGGGAUGGAGGCCUUCGGGUUGUAAACCUCUUUUAUCAGGGAGCAAGGCUUCGGUUGAGUGUACCUGUUGAAUAAGCACCGGCUAACUACGUGCCAGCAGCCGCGGUAAUACGUAGGGUGCAAGCGUUAUCCGGAAUUAUUGGGCGUAAAGGGCUCGUAGGCGGUUCGUCGCGUCCGGUGUGAAAGUCCAUCGCUUAACGGUGGAUCCGCGCCGGGUACGGGCGGGCUUGAGUGCGGUAGGGGAGACUGGAAUUCCCGGUGUAACGGUGGAAUGUGUAGAUA
rnacentral:rRNA from 1 species